UAGCCUAGUGGUUAAGGCUAUGGAUCGCCAAUCCGGAGACGGCGGGAUCGAUUCCCGC
rnacentral:tRNA from 1 species